GCAGCAGCCGCGGGAACACGAAGGGGGCUAGCGUUGCUCGGAAUCACUGGGCGUAAAGGGUGCGUAGGCGGGUCUUUAAGUCAGGGGUGAAAUCCUGGAGCUCAACUCCAGAACUGCCUUUGAUACUGAAGAUCUUGAGUUCGGGAGAGGUGAGUGGAACUGCGAGUGUAGAGGUGAAAUUCGUAGAUAUUCGCAAGAACACCAGUGGCGAAGGCGGCUCACUGGCCCGAUACUGGCGCUGAGGCACGAAAGCGUGGGGAGCAAACAGGAUUAGAUACCCCUGUAGUCCCUGUCUCUUAUAC
rnacentral:rRNA from 1 species